rnacentral:rRNA from 1 species
GAUGAACGCUGGCGGCGUGCCUAAUACAUGCAAGUCGAGCGAACAGACGAGGAGCUUGCUCCUCUGACGUUAGCGGCGGACGGGUGAGUAACACGUGGAUAACCUACCUAUAAGACUGGGAUAACUUCGGGAAACCGGAGCUAAUACCGGAUAAUAUAUUGAACCGCAUGGUUCAAUAGUGAAAGACGGUUUUGCUGUCACUUAUAGAUGGAUCCGCGCCGCACUAGCUAGUUGGUAAGGUAACGGCUUACCAAGGCAACGAUGCGUAGCCGACCUGAGAGGGUGAUCGGCCACACUGGAACUGAGACACGGUCCAGACUCCUACGGGAGGCAGCAGUAGGGAAUCUUCCGCAAUGGGCGAAAGCCUGACGGAGCAACGCCGCGUGAGUGAUGAAGGUCUUCGGAUCGUAAAACUCUGUUAUUAGGGAAGAACAAAUGUGUAAGUAACUAUGCACGUCUUGACGGUACCUAAUCAGAAAGCCACGACUAACUACGUG